CGAGUAAGUCGAACAGCCGCGCACACAAGUCGAAAGGCUGUGUGUGAGGAAAGUCCGGGCUCCACAGGGCAAGGAUAGCGGGUAACGCCCGCCGAAGGCGACUUCAGGAAAAGUGCAACAGAGAUAUACCGCCUUGUCGUCUUGCUACGACGACGGGGUAAGGGUGGAAAGGUGAGGUAAGAGCUCACCCGCCGGCUGGAGACAGACCGGCGCUGUAAACUCUAUCCGGAGCAACACCGUGGAGGGGAACACAGGCUUGCCCGGCCUCCUCGAGGAGGUGGCUAGAGCGUAUCGGCAACGAUGCGUCGAGAUAGAUGGCUGUUUAAGACAGAAUCCGGCUUACAGACUUGCUCGCAUA
rnacentral:RNase_P_RNA from 1 species